UUACGACCAUAUCACUUUGAAACACUGGUUCCCGUACGAUCAUUGAAGUUACGCAACAUCGAGUCUGGUCAGUACCUAGAUAGAUGACCGCUUGGCAAUACACGGUGCCGUAGG